UACGUAGGUGGCAAGCGUUGUCCGGAUUUACUGGGCGUAAAGAGCGCGCAGGCGGUCGUUCAAGUCGAGUGUGAAAGCCCCCGGCUCAACUGGGGAGGGUCACUCGAUACUGAUCGACUCGAAGGCAGAAGAGGGAAGCGGAAUUCCCGGUGUAGUGGUGAAAUGCGUAGAUAUCGGGAGGAACACCAGUGGCGAAGGCGGCUUUCUGGUCUGAUCUUGACGCUGAGGCGCGAAAGCUAGGGUAGCAAACGGG
rnacentral:rRNA from 1 species